rnacentral:lncRNA from 1 species
GUUUUGCUCCAAUUAUAGCUACUAAUUUGCAAAUGGCUCCAAGCAGACUGAGGUAUCCCAUGACUUUCUCUUAGCUGUAUGUCUUGAGUCCAGACAGUGGAAACUUGAUGUCCCUCUGGCCUCCCAGGGUACCAUGAGAGCUUCUUUUUAAUGUGGAACUGAUCUCUUUCUUUGAGCGAUAAUAGCAAAGCAAGCACUUCACAAAGACCAGUCCAUCUCGUCUCCAUAAAACCUUAAUGCCCUUCAAUGUGCAAAAAACAGGGAACAAGCUUUCACCCUUUGCCAGAAAACACCAAUUGAGAAGUGUAAAAGGGACCAAAAACAUUUGAAUAUCCCAUUUGAGAUCCACGUGUUAUCCAUUUGUCCCACAUUGCAAGAGUUGGAGAAAGUCCAUCCUCUCUAUAGCUUGCUGGUAAGCUUGAGCUUUGCUUACACUUAAGAGAGCGGGGAGGGGCAGCAUCCUCUGUGGAGCAGCCCCUCAGCCCUCUCCAGGAGGCUGGCUGUGUGGGGUCCCUGCUCCUGGGCAUUUGCUGUGCAACUUCACAUCAAAACCAACUCCCCCAGCUGGAAUGAGGACCAGGGUUCUGGGAGAGGAGAUGCUGCUUUCAAGAUGCACGUGAACGUGAACUUCUGAAGAGCCUGCAGCACGGCCACCCUGUCCUGCCCAGUCUCCAUUUGGGAGAUUACACCAUUGGGUUCCUGGUUUCACUUUGCCCUCACCAACUUUCCAUACUGUCCAGAGACAGUUUGACGCUUGGAGAACACAGUCACUUUCAGAGGGAGGUGCUUUUGCCGAGGAGAAGGGGCAGGAGAUAACUGGCUGUGUGGGAAGGAUCCACUGGUCGGCUCCAAGGCCAUCGAAUAUGGAGAAACUACUAGGCCGUCAAGGGGAAUUGCGUUAACUAGUGAUUUCACACAUCUUCGGCUGAAUGAAAAAUGGUGUUAAAUGAUGUUGCGCCUGAAGCAGAAUGAGAUCCUCAAGGGCCCCCCCCCACACCAUUAAGGGAAAAAUGUUUAUUCCAUUAAAUGCAG